rnacentral:rRNA from 1 species
UACGGGGGGUGCGAGCGUUAAUCGGAAUAACUGGGCGUAAAGGGCACGCAGGCGGUGACUUAAGUGAGAUGUGAAAGCCCCGAGCUUAACUUGGGAAUUGCAUUUCAUACUGGGUCGCUAGAGUACUUUAGGGAGGGGUAGAAUUCCACGUGUAGCGGUGAAAUGCGUAGAGAUGUGGAGGAAUACCGAAGGCGAAGGCAGCCCCUUGGGAAUGUACUGACGCUCAUGUGCGAAAGCGUGGGGAGCAAACAGG